AGAGUUUGAUCAUGGCUCAGGACGAACGCUGGCGGCGUGCUUAACACAUGCAAGUCACGGGGGCUCGCAAGAGCAACCGGCGAACGGGUGCGUAACACGUGAACAACCUGCCCUCGUGUGGGGGAUAGCCGGGCUAACGCCCGGGUAAUACCGCAUACGUUCCCUUGGGGGAGUCCCCGGGGGAGGAAAGCUCCGGCGCACGGGGAGGGGUUCGCGGCCUAUCAGCUAGUUGGCGGGGUAAUGGCCCACCAAGGCGACGACGGGUAGCUGGUCUGAGAGGAUGGCCAGCCACAUUGGGACUGAGAGACGGCCCAGACUCCUACGGGAGGCAGCAGUGGGGAAUCUUGCGCAAUGGUCGAAAGACUGACGCAGCGACGCCGCGUGUGGGAGGACGCCUUUCGGGGCGUAAACCACUGUUGCCCGGGACGAACGAGCGCUUUCGAGCGCUGUGACGGUACCGGGUGAGGAAGCACCGGCUAACUCCGUGCCAGCAGCCGCGGUA
rnacentral:rRNA from 1 species